rnacentral:rRNA from 1 species
GAUGAACGCUGACAGAAUGCUUAACACAUGCAAGUCGAUGGGGAAGUGGUGCUUACACCAUGGUAACCAUGGCGGACGGGUGAGUAACGCGUAAGGAACUUGCCUGCGGGACUGGGAUAACAGCAGGAAACUGCUGAUAAUACCGGAUAAGGUCAUUAAGCUGCAUAGCUUAGUGAUGAAAGGAGACGCCUGCGGAGAGCCUUGCGUCCUAUUAGCUAGUUGGAGGGGUAACGGCCCACCAAGGCGAAGAUAGGUAGCCGGCCUGAGAGGGUGGACGGCCACAAGGGGACUGAGAUACGGCCCUUACUCCUACGGGAGGCAGCAGUGGGGAAUAUUGGACAAUGGGGGCAACCCUGAUCCAGCAAUUCUGUGUGCACGAAGACGGUUUUCGGAUUGUAAAGUGCUUUCAGCAGGGAAGAAGGAAGUGACGGUACCUGCAGAAGAAGCGACGGCUAAAUACGUG